rnacentral:tRNA from 1 species
GCCCUCGUCCUGCCGGCAUUGCAGGCGCGAGCCUCCGAAGCUCGACGUUCCAGGUUCGACUCCUGGCGAGGGUA